rnacentral:piRNA from 1 species
UGCUUUCAGAACUCAGCUGCCUCACCUCUGU